rnacentral:misc_RNA from 1 species
CUGAGUGAGGGUCCCUCGGGGCCCAACCUCCCACCCGUGUAUACCGUACCUUGUUGCUUCGGCGAGCCCGCCCCCUUUUUCUUUUAGGGGGCACAGCGCUCGCCGGAGACACCAACGUGAACACUGUCUGAAGUUUUGUCGUCUGAGUCGAUUGUAUCGCAAUCAGUUA